CAAAUAAUCAAAACCUACCAUACCCACCAUUCCCACAAACCAACAUAUAUCUACCGAAGAGGAAAAGGAAACUGGGUAGCUGAUUAUUUCAAGAAACAACAAAGGAUCCUUGAAGGUUGUUUGGGCAGGGAUUUGGCAUUUUGUUAUCUGGGUUAUUUGGUAAUACAACAUCAAGA